GAUGAAGAACGUAGUGAAAUGCGAUAAGUAAUGUGAAUUGCAGAAUUCAGUGAAUCAUCGAAUCUUUGAACGCACAUUGCGCCCGCCAGUAUUCUGGCGGGCAUGCCUGUUCGAGCGUCAUUUCAACCAUCAAGCCCCAGGCUUGUGUUGGGGACCUGCGGCUGCCGCAGGCCCUGAAAACCAGUGGCGGGCUCGCUGUCACACCGGGCGUAGUAGAUUUUAUCUCGCUCAGGGCGUGCUGCGGGUUCCGGCCGUUAAAAAGCCUUUUUUACCCAAGGUUGACCUCGGAUCAGGUAGGAAGACCCGCUGAACUUAAGCAUAUCAAUAAGCGGGGGA
rnacentral:misc_RNA from 1 species